rnacentral:rRNA from 1 species
UACAGAGGGGGCAAGCGUUGUUCGGAAUUACUGGGCGUAAAGGGCGCGUAGGCGGCCUUCUAAGUCGAACGUGAAAUCCCCGGGCUCAACCCGGGAACUGCGUCCGAUACUGGGAGGCUUGAAUCCGGGAGAGGGAUGUGGAAUUCCAGGUGUAACGGUGAAAUGCGUAGAUAUCUGGAGGAACACCGGUGGCGAAGGCGG